rnacentral:misc_RNA from 1 species
CAGAGUUCAUGCCCUUCGGGGUAGAUCUCCCACCCUAUGUAUUUAUACCUUUGUUGCUUUGGUAGGCCGUCACACUUCGGUCUGACCACUGGCUUCGGCUGGUGCGUGCCUGCCAGAGGACCCCAAACUCUGAAUGUUAGUGUCGUCUGAGUACUAUAUAAUAGUUA